UACGUAGGGGGCAAGCGUUGUCCGGAUUUAUUGGGCGUAAAGAGCGUGUAGGCGGCCAUUCAGGUCAGCUGUGAAAACUCGAGGCUCAACCUCGAGACGUCGGUUGAAACCGUUUGGCUAGAGUCCGGAAGAGGAGAGUGGAAUUCCCGGUGUAGCGGUGAAAUGCGCAGAUAUCGGGAAGAACACCCGUGGCUAAGGCGGCUCUCUAGUACGGUACUGACGCUGAGACGCGAAAGCGUGGGGAGCGAACAGG
rnacentral:rRNA from 1 species